rnacentral:rRNA from 1 species
GGCGUCAGCAGCCGAUGAAGGACGCAAUAAACUGCGAAAUUCCACGGGGAGUCGUUAUAGACUAAGAUCCGUGGGUCUCCGAAUGGGGCAACCCCGCUGAGUAAUGUCAGCGACGCACAUCUGAAUACAUAGGGUGUGACGAGGUAAGCUCGGGAACUGAAACAUCUUAGUACCGAGAGGAAAAUAAAACAAAACAGUGAUUCCCUAAGUAGCGGCGAGUGAACGGGGAACAGCCCAAACCAGUAGGACGUAAGUCUUAUUGGGGUUGCGGGACUCUAUAAAGAAUUGAAGAAAGUUAGUUGAAGAGCUCUGGAAAGGGCUACCAAAGACGGUGACAGUCCGGUAGACGAAAACUUUCGACAUCUGGGAGUAUCCCAAGUAGUACGGGACACGAGAAAUCUUGUACGAAUCUGCCAGGACCAAUCUGGUAAGGCUAAAUACUGACUGACGACCGAUAGUGAACAAGUACCGCGAGGGAAAGGUGAAAAGAACCCGUAGAGAGGGAGUGAAAUAGAACAUGAAACCGU